rnacentral:rRNA from 1 species
AUUGAACGCUGGCGGCAGGCCUAACACAUGCGAGUCGAGCGGAUGAAGGGAGCUUGCUCCUGGAUUCAGCGGCGGACGGGUGAGUAAUGCCUAGGAAUCUGCCUGGUAGUGGGGGAUAACGUCCGGAAACGGGCGCUAAUACCGCAUACGUCCUGAGGGAGAAAGUGGGGGAUCUUCGGACCUCACGCUAUCAGAUGAGCCUAGGUCGGAUUAGCUAGUUGGUGGGGUAAAGGCCUACCAAGGCGACGAUCCGUAACUGGUCUGAGAGGAUGAUCAGUCACACUGGAACUGAGACACGGUCCAGACUCCUACGGGAGGCAGCAGUGGGGAAUAUUGGACAAUGGGCGAAAGCCUGAUCCAGCGAUGGCGCGUGUGUGAAGAAGGUCUUCGGAUUGUAAAGCACUUUAAGUUGGGAGGAAGGGCAGUAAGUUAAUACCUUGCUGUUUUGACGGUACCAACAGAAUAAGCACCGGCUAACUUCGUG